AGGAUAAAGAAGUUCAAGUGAAGAUAAGCAGAAUCUUCUAAAGGGAACUUGGACAGGCAAGAGGAAAUGAGCAGUGGGGUAUGACAGGAAAAGGGUCUCACUGUGUUGAGCUGAUUCCCAGAGGAAGCUGAUCAAGAGGACACAUUCUACGUUUUUCAAGCUUGCUCAGACUUGGGAGAACUCAGGCUUCAGGGGACUGGAGGAAGGAGAGAAACCUGGCUAACAGUCAAGACAAAACAAGAGAGAAGCUCACGUAGACAAGGAAAAGCUGUUUACACAGGAGUGUACUAAGUAACCCAAUGGCAUUAUAAAAAGAGCGUCUACUCUCAACCUGUCCUCUGAGAUGAUUCUGGAUGAAAAUACUGGAAAGUCUCAAGUGAACUGGCAUAAUCAUUAAAGAAAAUGUUUCUCAUAGAAAACAACCUUGACUCCGC
rnacentral:lncRNA from 1 species